GUGCUUGCUUUGGCAGCACAUCCACUAAAACCAGAACAAUAUAGAGAAGAUUAGCAUGGCCCCUGAGCAAGGAUGACAUGCAAAUCCUUGCAAAGUUCCAUAUUGUU